rnacentral:rRNA from 1 species
GAUGAACGCUGGCGGCGUGCCUAAUACAUGCAAGUCGAGCGAACGGACGAGAAGCUUGCUUUUCUGAUGUUAGCGGCGGACGGGUGAGUAACACGUGGAUAACCUACCUAUAAGACUGGGAUAACUUCGGGAAACCGGAGCUAAUACCGGAUAAUAUUUUGAACCGCAUGGUUCAAAAGUGAAAGACGGUCUUGCUGUCACUUAUAGAUGGAUCCGCGCUGCAUUAGCUAGUUGGUAAGGUAACGGCUUACCAAGGCAACGAUGCAUAGCCAACCUGAGAGGGUGAUCGGCCACACUGGAACUGAGACACGGUCCAGACUCCUACGGGAGGCAGCAGUAGGGAAUCUUCCGCAAUGGGCGAAAGCCUGACGGAGCAACGCCGCGUGAGUGAUGAAGGUCUUCGGAUCGUAAAACUCUGUUAUUAGGGAAGAACAUAUGUGUAAGUAACUGUGCACAUCUUGACGGUACCUAAUCAGAAAGCCACGGCUAACUACGUG